UGGCAGCAGCAAUGUUUCUGUUCUCUGUAAAUUCGAACUCCAUUAAUGGCAGCAGCAAUGUUUCCAGUCUUCCUACCCUGUAAAGCCCCCAGCUUGCUUCAUUCCUCAGUCUUCUAGUUAUUGCAGUUCUGUGCUUCAACUUCAUCAUCAUUGCUGUAAUCUGA